UCGAGGUAAUAUAUAAUCGUAGGGCAGUGAGGUUGGAGUAAAGUUGGAAAGUUUUGUCGGCGGAUUUAGCGGUGAAAUGUGUAAAUAAUCUAAGUCAAAUAUAUGUUUUUGUGUAGUAUUGUUUGGCUGUGCUGUGUACUGUAAAACUUUAAAAAUUUAAGCUGAGAAAGCUGUUUAUUAAAAACAAGGAUUAGAGACCCUUUUAUUUAAGCUGAAACUAGGUUUACCUACGGGUAUGAUGAACGUUAUAAUAAGUUUAGUAGCUUAUGAGAGUUGGCGGCAUUUUGCAACCUUUUAGGGGAACUUGGCGUUUAAAUCGAUGAUCCUCGAAAAUCUUACCUCUAAUUUUCCUUUCAUACCGCCGUUGUCAGCGAGUUUUGAAAAAUUAAUUUGCGUAUACAAAAUCUAAAUUAGUUUAGUGGAAUAUUUGUGUUUGUAAGAAUUCAGGUAGACGUGUAGGUGUUUUAGAGGGAUUAGCUGAGUUACAAUUAUUAAAUAAUAGCGGAUGAGUUAGUUGUCUACUGGUGUAAAACUUGCUUGAUUUAGGUUAAGUGUUUUUUGUACUGGGGUUUCUGAAAGGUAUUUCUGAAGAUGGACUUUAUAGUAAAAUUUUUUAUAAGCAAGAAAUUUGAAUUGAGUAAAAAAAAUGUGUACAAAUCGCCC
rnacentral:rRNA from 1 species